rnacentral:rRNA from 1 species
UCCCAGACUCCUACGGGAGGCAGCAGUGAGGAAUAUUGGUCAAUGGGCUUACGCCUGAACCAGCCAAGUCGCGUGAGGGAAGACUGCCCUAUGGGUUGUAAACCUCUUUUGUCAGGGAGCAAUUGGCGCUACGUGUAGCGUUAUCGAGAGUACCUGAAGAAAAAGCAUCGGCUAACUCCGUGCCAGCAGCCGCGGUAAUACGGAGGAUGCGAGCGUUAUCCGGAUUUAUUGGGUUUAAAGGGUGCGUAGGUUGUUUUUUAAGUCAGCGGUGAAAGUUUGUGGCUCAACCAUAAAAUUGCCGUUGAAACUGGAAGACUUGAGUGUGUUUGAGGUAGGCGGAAUGCGUGGUGUAGCGGUGAAAUGCAUAGAUAUCACGCAGAACUCCGAUUGCGAAGGCAGCUUACUAAGCCAUAACUGACACUGAAGCACGAAAGCGUGGGGAUCAAACAGGAUUAGAUACCCCAGUA